GUCCCUUUAGCGUAAUGGAUAGCGCGUUGGUCUUCUAAUCCAAAUGUCGUAGGUUUGAAUUCUGUAUGGGAUG
rnacentral:tRNA from 1 species